rnacentral:lncRNA from 1 species
AUUUCAAAACUUGUUCGGAGAAGGUUCAUUUAACUGUGGGAGUUGCAACACACUCUUUCUCCAGUGCGCAGCGCUCGGCCUGGGGGAGGGGAAACAGCUGCCAGGCCGGGGAGCAGCGGGCCCAUCCCGGCCCGGCCCGCUCAGCCCGCUCGCUCACCGUCAGGGUGUCGUCUAUGUAGAGGGGGAUCUGCCUCCUCUCGAAGGGGAACUCCUCCUCCCCGUCCCUGCACACUGCCACCAGUCGCGCCAUCGUCCCCGACGCUGCCGUUGCCACCGUCACCACCUCCUCCCAGCUGCUGCCGCCGCCGCUGCUCCUGCCGCCGCCGCUGCUGCUGCCUCCUCCCAGCUCCUGCCUGCAACAGCCAAACCCCGCGAGCGGGGGAGGGGGGGCCGCGAACUCCAGGCGGGGCCUGCCUCUUCUCGCGAGACCGCGGCCGCCUCGCUCGUGUCCCGACUUUCGAAAUCGGCUUGUACGGGUGGGGGGAACCCCCUGUGCUGUCGCGCUCGGCUGACCUGCGUGGUGCCCCGGAUUUACCAAAACGAGCGUGAAAAUAGGGCCAGUGGGGAGGCCCAGCAGGAGCAGCCGGGGUCCCUGCCAGUGACGACCCGGGAUCUGCUCUCUGGAGACCGGUUGCACACAUGCGGACUUCCACCCCUGUAAGACUGGAGGAAAGGGCUCUGCUACCCUGACUCACCCAGAGCCGGCCGCCUUAUGGGGACUGCAGCAAGAUGGAUGGAAAAUAUGUGCAGGAUCUGUUGUUACAAUAGACAGAAAACUGAACUGUAGUCUAUGUGUAGCUUCCGACCAAAGGAACUUCUUGAGUUAAUAUUAACUUAAGGGACUCCCUUGGGCAAAGUUACUGAUAGUGGCCAAAGGCCCUUCGGUCUGACCAUCUUCCGAGAACCAGAGCUGCUGUAAAGAGAGUUUCCUCUGCACUCUUGACUACUGCCACGUUCUCAGGUACUAGUCUACGGAGGUCCAUUGUAAAGCCAAAAAGAUGGAAAAUGUUUUGUCUUGAUGGUUUUAAUAAUAAAUCCAUUCGCUGCUUGUACAACUACCAGAUCUUAAGGACAGAUCGAAUAUUUUCUGGUAAAAUAGGGUAAAGCUGUUGUUACUGACCUUUAAAAGUAUUUUGAUCACAUGAAGUCUUUCAAGUCACAACCAAAAAAAAAAAAAAAAAAAAAUCCCACAGUGCAUCCUUAGCCUUGUUGACUUAUGACAUUGUGUGGUCAUUGUUAGAGUAGGUGACAUAAUAAACUGGAAGAACCAUUGUGUGUUCCCAAAGGUGUGAUUAUCCAGUAAAUAUGUCUUUGGGCCAUACUAAAAGCAGAACAG